UCCGCUUCUUUCUUGCGCUCUCCAUCUCACUUUCCUAACCCAACGCAAGAACAGAGAGCGCAAGUGUGGAUGCCUCUCUUCUCCCCUCUAGAUACAUCAAAUCCUCGUGAAUAGAAGCCUUUAUUUUUGGUGGAAUAGGACUGGCAAGGCUGCUGGGGCUGAGACCCAGAACGAAGUUGGCCAAGCCCAGUAUCUGCGUGUGUCAGUUAAGGAUGUGGAACAGGUCUGCAAAGAGAUUGGGAAUCUGAGGUUGCAGCUCGCUCCGAAGACGAGAGAGCUCCAACGCGGAGUAGGGGCGGAACCAGGAUUUGGUCACGCCUCAUACUGGACUUUAACAGCUUAGAACUAAUGUUAAAACAUCACCUCGGUUUGCGUUUUUACUACCUGGGCUAUACCUUUGCGAAAUUCCUACGCCUCAGGUUGAAGCUCACCUUGCCAUGGCUUGGUUCCGCCCAUGACGUGAAGAGAACCUAAAAGGCUCAAGGUGGAGUUGGUUCUGAAGGAGGUGGAGUCUGUGCAGAAGAAGAAUGAGGAGCUGAAAGGUGAGAACGAGAACCUAAAAAAACUGUAAGCUCCUGUGCGCUUCUGUUCAUUCUAACCACGCUGUCUAGGUUAUUGACAUCAUAGGAACACUGACCGUACAUGCUUGAAACGUCAAUGUUAUUUUUUUCUGCUGAUUAAGCUAGAUGAUAAAAUUUUACUGUGUGGACUGCUCCAGCACUGAACUGAUUCUUUCCUGCAAAAAAAAAGCACUGAACUGAUUCUUCUAGUAGUUCUCGGGAUUGAAUAAUCAUAACAAAUAAGCUGAGAGCACA